UCCUUAGUGGCGCAGCUAACGCAAUAAGCAGACCGCCUGGGGAGUACGGCCGCAAGGUUAAAACUCAAAUGAAUUGACGGGGGCCCGCACAAGCGGUGGAGCAUGUGGUUUAAUUCGAUGCAACGCGAAGAACCUUACCAGGGCUUGACAUCCAGCGAACUUUCCAGAGAUGGAUAGGUGCCUUCGGGAACGCUGUGACAGGUGCUGCAUGGCUGUCGUCAGCUCGUGUCGUGAGAUGUUGGGUUAAGUCCCGUAACGAGCGCAACCCUUGUCCUUAGUUGCCAGCGAGUUAUGUCGGGAACUCUAAGGAGACUGCCGGUGACAAACCGGAGGAAGGCGGGGACGACGUCAAGUCAUCAUGGCCCUCACGUCCUGGGCUACACACGUGCUACAAUGGGGAGUACAGAGGGCAGCGACCCCGCGAGGGUGAGCGAAUCCCACAAAACUUCUCGUAGUCCGGAUCGGAGUCUGCAACUCGACUCCGUGAAGUCGGAAUCGCUAGUAAUCGCGAAUCAGAAUGUCGCGGUGAAUACGUUCCCGGGCCUUGUACACACCGCCCGUCACACCAUGGGAGUGGGUUGCUCCAGAAGUGGUUAGCCUAACCGUAAGGGGGGCGAUC
rnacentral:rRNA from 1 species